GAGGGGAAAGGUGCGCCAUCUAGAAGACAAGUUUCAAACUAGAAAGGGGCAUAGAGAGAUUAGAAGGAGUGCAACCGGGUAAGAUGGCAACUUUCCAUUUUGGGGGAUUGUCUCUUUGGGCAAAGGCCAGGGAGGAUUCGGCGCCAAUUUUGGCGUCUGUGCGAUCAUUCCCUCGUUGCACCUCCGCAGAUUCGGAUGAGUGGUUUGGUUUACCUAAAAGUGUCCAAGUGCUAAGUGGAAAAAAUCGGCGAGCGAGGAGCGUAGGUCCAGGGGCGGAAAAGUCCAACAGGAAAGCCCACUGUUUUUGUGGCCAGUUCUGGAUCCGUGGAGGCUCGGCGAAAGGAUAAUUAUUGCCGAACAGAGGAGAAGUCAGGCAGCCCCAACGAGUCGGAGCGGAUCCGAAGGAUUUCGGAAGCCCACGGCGCAAAGCAGCAGGAGCAGAGUUCGCCGGGAAGAUUCCGGGUUGUGCUUAGAUUGUCAGAUAGACCCCAAAACAACUAAACUAAGAAAGACUCAUGUAGUGUAUGCAUAUCGUUAUAGGCAAUGAUCACUGUACCGUAAAUAUUAACUAAUAAGUUGUGACACUUUGUUGCAAUAAAUACGGAAACACUUGACUUCAGUGUAACAUGAUCCGCCACUUCAGCGCAUAGGGCUCAAACGGUUUGUCAGCGUUCUUAUGCUGUCCAGCCGUUGCCACACACGAACAUACAUAUGCAUACAUGACUCCACUCAUAUGCUAGCUAUUAAAUAUAAGUAAUAUAUUGCUGACGCUCAGCCGCUGCCCUCUGCAGCAGCGCAGUCUUGUAUCAUAAGUUUUAGAAUAAGUAAAAAUUGUAAUGGAAAUGAAUUCAAAAAGAACCAGAGUAGCGACACGACAUGUCGCUCUCUAGAAGAAACUAAAUAAAAUAAAACCACCAACUUAUCCGAAAUACGAGCAACCUUAAAUCUGGAAGUCUGGGACUUUACAUGGCGACCGUGACAUGGAGGAAGGACACUAAAGGACGAUUCAGGAAACAUUGACCAAUGGAGUGAAAGGAAAAGGCAGCUACAAGGAAAUCUGGAAUUGACCAAUGGAGUGAAAGGAAAAGGCAGCUACAAGGAAAUCUGACACACACGGAAAUAUGGAAUAUUUUGGAAUGCUACGGCAUGGAAAAUCUGAGUGAGUAGAGUGCGGAAAUGGGACGU